UGGGGAAUAUUGGACAAUGGGCGAAAGCCUGAUCCAGCCAUGCCGCGUGUGUGAAGAAGGCCUUUUGGUUGUAAAGCACUUUAAGUGGGGAGGAAAAGCUUAUGGUUAAUACCCAUAAGCCCUGACGUUACCCACAGAAUAAGCACCGGCUAACUCUGUGCCAGCAGCCGCGGUAAUACAGAGGGUGCAAGCGUUAAUCGGAAUUACUGGGCGUAAAACGCGCGUAGGUGGUUAUUUAAGUCAGAUGUGAAAGCCCCGGGCUUAACCUGGGAACUGCAUCUGAUACUGGAUAACUAGAGUAGGUGAGAGGGGAGUAGAAUUCCAGGUGUAGCGGUGAAAUGCGUAGAGAUCUGGAGGAAUACCGAUGGCGAAGGCAGCUCCCUGGCAUCAUACUGACACUGAGGUGCGAAAGCGUGGGUAGCAAACAGGAUUAGAUACCCUGGUAGUCCACGCCGUAAACGAUGUCUACCAGUCGUUGGGUCUUUUAAAGACUUAGUGACGCAGUUAACGCAAUAAGUAGACCGCCUGGGGAGUACGGCCGCAAGGUUA
rnacentral:rRNA from 1 species